UCCUCUUUCUUCUUCUUCUUCUUCUUCUUCUUCUUCUUUCUCACAACUCCAUGAAGAUAACCUUUGUGCUCAUUGCUUUCCUCGUCUUCGUGUCUUUAGCCCAUGCGGGCCGGACAGCGCCAGUGGAAUAUCCAGAGAAGACCAGCCUUCAGGGCGUGCAGAAGGAGACGCCGGAGAGGGUGGAAGGAUGUGAGGGCGUCGGGGCGGAUGAAUGCUUGAUGAGGAGAUCCCUGGCAGCUCACACUGACUACAUCUACACCCAGGAGCACCAUUAAGAGGGAGGUGGUGACACGGUUGUGCUCUUUUGGCUGGUGGAUCUUUCUGCCACAAGUAUUCCAUCCAUUGUGUCAUGAUCACUGCUAUGUCUCAUGUGUGUUGCUGGCUUUAGGAGUAACAUGCAGGCCGUGUGAUGCUGUCCUGCAUCUAUGUUCUAUGUUUCCAGGACUCGUAAACACCAAUAAAUAUAGGGUAAAUGUUGGUUUUAUGUUCA